UACGUAGGGGGCAAGCGUUGUCCGGAAUUAUUGGGCGUAAAGAGCUCGUAGGCGGUCUGUCGCGUCUGCUGUGAAAACUCGGGGCUUAACCCCGGGCCUGCAGUGGGUACGGGCAGACUAGGGUGCGGUAGGGGAGACUGGAAUUCCUGGUGUAGCGGUGAAAUGCGCAGAUAUCAGGAGGAACACCGGUGGCGAAGGCGGGUCUCUGGGCCGUAACUGACGCUGAGGAGCGAAAGCAUGGGGAGCGAACAGG
rnacentral:rRNA from 1 species